GGAAACUGGUCUUGGCAGAGGUUUGCACUCUCCGAGUGUUUCUAGUUUUUUAAUGUUUCACUCGGAUGAAGAGAUUCUCACAGUCCUUCACUUCUCAUCUGGAGGUUGAACACUGAACCCAUGUUGCUGUGCAGAGGAUGGUGGUUCCCAUCAUGAGAUGCAUCAUUAAGGCAACAUGCAGAGAAACAGAAGUGCCAGUAAAGGCAGCAGAGUGAAGAAAGAACAAGAGCCUCCCCUUCAAUUUGCUCAGCAGGUCUAAAAUACUUGUUUACAAGCUCCUGCUGGAAAAUGAUGUCUUCUGUAGGGAUUUAUUAUUGAUGGAGCUCAGUGAGCGGCUCUGCAGCUGUAUACUCACUGAGCCUCGGACCAACCAACAGCAUGUGACCAGCUGCCAGUAAGAAUGUGUUGGACAUCUAAACACCAAUUAGAAACGGAUCGUUUUCAGUCAGGACUGAAGGUAACACAUCGUACCUGAUCAGAUGAGAGGAAAAGGUGAAGAUGGACAGAACAUUUUCUCUCCGUGUUGCCAGGAGCCACGCUGUGAUUGACAGCUUCACGGUGACCUGUGCAAUUGACAGAUUUAAAGAAGGUGAGGAGAGUGACUGCACCCAUCAUCACAGGGUUGCAGUCGAGCGAGAGGAAUGUUUUUUCAAUUUCAGCUCUUUUCUUCCAUUCACCCGGCUCUUGAGGACCCCCUCUGCCCCCAUUUAUCCAUCCAAGUCUCAACUCUAUUCAUUCUCUCUGCUCUCUUUCUCUUUAACCUCCACCCGGCUGCUUCUGCUUUCAUCUUCUCCUCAGUCUAACUCGGACUUGACUUCUCUGCCUAUUUAUCCCCCACCUUCAGUCCAUCUACCAUCUCUUCUGUCCUCUCAUCUGCCGCCUUUCAUCUUCAUCUCUCCUUCUUUUCCUUUCCUUUUCUCCUCACGUUUCGUCUCUUCUCAAAAGAUUUCCUUUUCGGAGUCCUUUACUUCCA